AGACCCGAAACCCGGUGAUCUAGCCAUGGGCAGGUUGAAGGUUGGGUAACACUAACUGGAGGACCGAACCGACUAAUGUUGAAAAAUUAGCGGAUGACCUGUGGCUGGGGGUGAAAGGCCAAUCAAACCGGGAGAUAGCUGGUUCUCCCCGAAAGCUAUUUAGGUAGCGCCUCGUGAAUUCAUCUCCGGGGGUAGAGCACUGUUUCGGCUAGGGGGCCAUCCCGGCUUACCAACCCGAUGCAAACUGCGAAUACCGGAGAAUGUUAUCACGGGAGACACACGGCGGGUGCUAACGUCCGUCGUGAAGAGGGAAACAACCCAGACCGCCAGCUAAGGUCCCAAAGUCAUGGUUAAGUGGGAAACGAUGUGGGAAGGCCCAGACAGCCAGGAUGUUGGCUUAGAAGCAGCCAUCAUUUAAAGAAAGCGUAAUAGCUCACUGGUCGAGUCGGCCUGCGCGGAAGAUGUAACGGGGCUAAACCAUGCACCGAAGCUGCGGCAGCGAACGUAUCACUUAAAGCGAUUCAGCGGGUUACGAUUGACGGAGCGAAGCGACGUCAAAGCGUAUACAAAGUCGAGUCGGUUUAAGGAUACGUUCGUUGGGUAGGGGAGCGUUCUGUAAGCCUGCGAAGGUGGCCUGUGAGGGUUGCUGGAGGUAUCAGAAGUGCGAAUGCUGACAUAAGUAACGAUAAAGCGGGUGAAAAGCCCGCUCGCCGGAAGACCAAGGGUUCCUGUCC
rnacentral:rRNA from 1 species